AAGAACAAAGGAAGAAAAGAAGAACACAAACCCUAGGUGGGAAAAUUCAAGGGAAAAGUGUGAAAAUUCAAGUAAUCAGGCAAUCAAAGGUAAAAUUUCUGGAUUUUGACUUGUGAUCUACCUUUCCCAUGCGUUAUUUUGCAUUUUUCAUGGUUGAAUCACAAGAUGUCAUGAAGGAUUCAUGGCUGACCGAAUUUAGAGAGAGAAGAUUUGGUGGUUGUUUUGGUUAGAUUUUAAGAUAUUUUAGUGUUUUUAGUUAGUUAGUGAUGUGAAGCAUGAAAAUCAAACAAGAAAAAUUCAUUUUCUCCCAUAACCCAUCAUUGUUCGAAUUUUUCAAGAGAAAAUGUGAGGAUGAUUUUGCCACAUUUCAAGUUAUUUAAAUUGUGUUUAAUGAUUUGGAGUAUUGGGAGAAAAAUGGAGUUAAUUGGAGUUGAAUUGGACAUAUUGACCAAUUAAUCAAUGAUAGAUUGAAUUAGGCCAAUACCGAUUUAAUUAGGGACCCAUAUGAAUUUGUGUAGAAUAUCGUGUUUAGACGGUAAUCCGAACAAUUUGCAUCCCAUUUCAUACAUUAGUAUAAAGUCUGAAUUGGUUUUAUAACAAUUUAUCACAAUGUAGUAAAUGGCUUAUUGUGUAUUGUGUAUAGGCGGUGAGCCCUCUAACAAGGGUAAAGAUGUUGUGUCAGAGGACUGAGAAUAGGAGUAUUUCAAACUCUUGAUACAGUGAGUAACCUUAAUAUCGUCUUAAUUAUCUAAAAUAUGUUUUAUUUGAUUUUGUGAAUUUUAUGGAAAAUGAAUUAAAUGAUUAAUUUUUUGAUUUUAUAAACCAAAUGUGAUUUAAUGAUAUGAUUUCAUAAAAUUGUUUUGAAAUUGAAUAAUGGCUUUGAAAAUAGAGUAAUUGGAGACCAUUUGAUGUAUUGUGAAUUUAUGGGUCUAAUUGAUUGGCUUAUGACAAUAUUGACAUGAAUGGCUGAUUUGGUAUUUGUGUUGAAAUGUAUAAACUGUUGUUUGCCUUGAUAGGCUAGAUAAUGAAAAAAUUGCCAUGUCAUGCUGUUGAAUUUUUAUUGUAUGGUGGGUUUAGCUUGCUGCAGUGGCCUGGUUCUGAGGACAAGCCUAUUAGAGGGGCACGGAACCUGGUCAUAUUCAUACUUCAGUAUGAGAGGCGCGGAUGGAUAACUUCUGAGGUUAACACU
rnacentral:lncRNA from 1 species